rnacentral:sRNA from 1 species
CUCGAUUUCUCCGAACAUCCCAGUGCCCCCACCACGCAGCCGCGUAUGCUGCGCUUCCGUCUCGGCGUCUCGCACUCUCGCUGCUCGCUGACGGCCGCGGCUGCACCGCGCACGCACGCACCCGUGGGCCGUGGCCUCGCGCCGAUUCCACAAUCCACACCACUACUCCCCUCGCGCGCGGUGGCGUGCGCCCCA